rnacentral:rRNA from 1 species
CCCUUAGAUGUUCUGGGCCGCACGCGUGCUACACUGAGUGGAUCAGCGGGUCAGGUUGCGCGAAAGUGUUUCCUAAUCUUGAAAUCCGCUGGUGAUGGGGAUUGACGGUUGCAAUUUUCCGUCAUGAACGAGGAAUACCUUGUAAGCGCGGGUCAUCAUCCCGCGCUGAAUACGUCCCUGCCCUUUGUACACACCGCCCGUCGCUCCUACCGAUUGAGUGGUCCGGUGAGGCUUUGGGAUCUGAGCGGAAAGAGCGUUUCGCUGUUUCUGCUCGGAAAACUCAGUCGAACCUUAUCAUUUAGAGGAAGGAGAAGUCGUAACA